rnacentral:rRNA from 1 species
GAACUUCAAUAGUCCCGCGAUUCAUUCUUGCCUAGAGUCAAGUGCAUUUUCAGAGUAUUAACUGAAUCUGGAUCUAUAACUUUAGCCAGUUGAAUCAGCCUGUCAUGGUAGCGGGUGUUGCGUUAAAGACAAUUUGGGCUUGUAUACACAUUCAACUUGGGCGUUAUAGGUAAAUCGACAUGUUCUUUGAUUUCAGUCAUUCUGACGGCAUGCCGUUUGCAUUGUUUGUAUUACACAAGUGACUAAUUCCUCAGAUUUAGCUUCAUUUGUGUCGAUGCCUAAUGUUGAGCGGCUGUCAUUGAAAUCGGCAAGUCACAGAAUGUAUUGGAUGCCGAGUUAUUCGACCCGUCUUGAAACACGGUCUAAGGAGUUCACUGCAUGUGCAAGAGUUCGGUUGUAUGAAAAACCUUGCUCGCAAUGAAAGUAAAGAACAUUCUUGCAAUGUUUGAAGUGUGAUUUUUUGUGUCACAUUCACGUGUGAUACAGACGCAACACUGACUGGUUCUAUUGCCGUUGGCAGAGAGCUAAGUAAGAGUAUAUGCAAUGAGACCCGAAAGAUGGUGAACUUUACGUGUAUAGAAUGAAGUCAGAGGAAACUCUGAUGGAAGUUCGUAGCGAUCCUGACGUGCAAAUCGGUCGUCAAAUAUGCGUAAAGGGGCGAAAGACUAAUCGAACCAUCUAGUAGCUGGUUCCGUCCGAAGUUUCCCUCAGGAUAGCUGGCGCUCAGUAUUUACAGUUAUAUCCGGUAAAGCGAAUGUUUAGAGGCCUUAGGAACAAAAUGUUCUUAACCUAUUGACAAACUUUAAAUGGGUAUGAAGUUCAUUUUUCUACUUCAUUGAGAAUGAACUGCGAAUGUGAGUGCCAAGUGGGCCAUUUUUGGUAAGCAGAACUGGCGCUGUUGGAUGCACAAAACGCAGAGUUAAAGAGCCAGAUGAUCUCGCUCAUCAGAAACCAUAAAAGGUGUUGGUCGAUAUAGACAGCAGGACGGUGGCCAUGGAAGUCGGAAUCCGUUAAGGAGUGUGUAACAACUCACCUGCCGAAUCGACUAGUCCUAAAAAUGGAUGGCGCUCGAGCGAGUCUCUUAUACUCUGCUGUUGCAAUAGAACAAGCCAAAAGCGGACACUAUGUUGCAACAAGUAGGACGGUUGAUAUGGUUGCGUCGAAGGUUAGCUCGUGAGAGCGACUGGAGCAGUCAUAUGUGCAGAUCUUAGUGGUAGUAGCAACUAUUCAAAUGAGAACUUUGAAGACUGACGUGGAGAAAGGUUCCAUGUGAACAGCUAUUGGACAUGGGUCAGUCAGUCCUAAGAUGCGCUCGAAAGAGGGUUCCGAACGAGGAAUAUCUAUAUUCAUUUAUAUUCCAUCAAAUCGAAAGGGAAACAAGUUAAUAUUCUUGUACUAAGUGUCGGAGAUUGUUUGAUUUCUUGUCAAACAUAUGUGGUAACACAAACAAGCUCAAAUACAUCACAAGUGGUCCUGGAAAGAGUUUUCUCUUCUUUGUUACUUCAUCAGACGACCCUGGAAUCAGUUCAACUGGAGAUAGGGUUCAAAUGAAGGUAAAGAGUAGCCGUUCUUGCUACUUCCUCGGUGCAUCAUUUGUGAUCCUUGAAAAUUUGAGCGAGAUAUUCAAUUUCGCACUUAUCUGUACUCUAAACCGCAUCAGGUCUCCAAGGUGAAAAGCCUCUAGUCAAUUAGAACAAGGUAGCACAAGGGAAGUCGGCAAAAUCGAUCGGCAACUUCGGGAUAACGAUUGGCUCUAAGUGCUAGGGUGUUCGGGCUUGAUGAUAAAGCAGUAGACUUGCUAUUGGAGCUGAGCUUUCGGAUACAGCAAUGUGUCUGAUCGUUCGGACUAGUGGCUUGUCUUGCUGUGGAAUCGUUUUGCUACGGUAUGCGAUUCGCUUGCGGGUCGUAUUACUUCGGACAUCGUUUAAUAGCAAACUUAGAACUCGCUGCGUCUAGGGGAAUCCGACUGUCUAGUUAAAACAGAGCUUUGCGAUUGGCCGGAAAACUUGGUGUUGACGCAAAGUGAUUUCUGCCCAGUGCUCUGAAUGUUAACGUGAAGAAAUUCAAACAAGCGCGGGUAAACGGCGGGAGUAACUAUGACUCUCUUCUGGUAGCCAAAUGCCUCGUCAUCUAAUUAGUGACGCGCAUGAAUGGAUUAACGAGAUUCCCACUGUCCCUGUCUACUAUCUAGCGAAACCACAGCCAAGGGAACGGGCUUGGACUUCAAUGCGGGGAAAGAAGACCCUGUUGAG